GCGAACAGAGCUACUAGAAACAGGUUGAAUGUGGCUGCAGAAUGCACAACUUAUUGACAAGCUGUUGAAAUAGAAUUGGCGCAAGUGGCACUUUAGUUUG
rnacentral:lncRNA from 1 species